rnacentral:rRNA from 1 species
GCUAGUAGGUGAGGUAAAGGCUCACCUAGGCGACGAUCCGUAGCGGGUCUGAGAGGAUGAUCCGCCACACUGGGACUGAGACACGGCCCAGACUCCUACGGGAGGCAGCAGUGGGGAAUUUUGGACAAUGGGCGCAAGCCUGAUCCAGCCAUGCCGCGUGAGUGAUGAAGGCCCUCGGGUUGUAAACUGCUUUUGUACAGAACGAAAAAGCUCUGGCUAAUACCUGGAGUCCAUGACGGUACUGUAAGAAUAAGCACCGGCUAACUACGUGCCAGCAGCCGCGGUAAUACGUAGGGUGCAAGCGUUAAUCGGAAUUACUGGGCGUAAAGCGUGCGCAGGCGGUUUUGUAAGACAGAGGUGAAAUCCCCGGGCUCAACCUGGGAACUGCCUUGUGACUGCAAGGCUGGAGUGCGGCAGAGGGGGAUGGGAAUUCCGCGUGUAGCAGUGAAAUGCGUAGAUAUGCGGAGGAACACCGAUGGCGAAGGCAAUCCCCU